rnacentral:rRNA from 1 species
GCUUGUCUCAAAGAUUAAGCCAUGCAUGUCUCAGUAUAAGCUUGUGCAUAGUGAAACUGCGAACGGCUCAUUAUAACAGUUAUAAUUUGUUUGGUGUUCAAGUUUACAUGGGUAACUGUGGCAAUUCUAGAGCUAAUACAUGCGACAACCCCUGACUGCUUGCAGAAAGGGCGUAUUUAUUAGAUACAACCAACCCUUCGGGUCCCUGGUGAAUCAUAAUAACUUAGCGAACCGCAUGCUUCGGCGGCGGUGAUUCAUUCAAGUUUCUGCCCUAUCAGCUUUCGAUGGUAGGGUAUUGGCCUACCAUGGCGGUGACGGGUGACGGAGAAUUAGGGUUCGAUUCCGGAGAGGGAGCCUGAGAGAUGGCUACCACAUCCAAGGAAGGCAGCAGG